rnacentral:rRNA from 1 species
CAGUCGCCGCGGUAAAACGAAGGGGGCUAGCGUUGCUCGGAAUGACUGGGCGUAAAGGGCGCGUAGGCGGAUUGUUUAGUUAGGCGUGAAAUUCCUGGGCUUAACCUGGGGACUGCGCUUAAUACAGGCAGUCUAGAGUGAGGAAGAGGGUUGUGGAAUUCCCAGUGUAGAGGUGAAAUUCGUAGAUAUUGGGAAGAACACCGGUGGCGAAGGCGGCAACCUGGUCCUUGACUGACGCUGAGGCGCGAAAGCGUGGGGAGCAAACAGGAUUAGAUACCCCCGUAGUCCCUGUCUCUUAUAC